rnacentral:rRNA from 1 species
UACGUAGGGGGCAAGCGUUGUCCGGAAUCAUUGGGCGUAAAGCGCGUGUAGGCGGCUCGAUAAGUCUGCUGUGAAAGUCCAGGGCUCAACCCUGGGAUGCCGGUGGAUACUGUCGAGCUCGAGUCCGGAAGAGGCGAGUGGAAUUCCUGGUGUAGCGGUGAAAUGCGCAGAUAUAAGGAGGAACACCAAUGGCGAAGGCAGCUCGCUGGGACGUGACUGACGCUGAGACGCGAAAGCGUGGGGAGCAAACAGG